rnacentral:rRNA from 1 species
UGGCGGCAAUAGAGCAUUGGAACCACCUGAUCCCAUCCCGAACUCAGAAGUGAAACAGUGUAUCGCCGAUGGUAGUGUGGGAGAUCCCAUGUGAGAGUAGGUCACUGCCAG